GCUCAAAUAAAUUUGUUAGUCUCUAAGGUGCCACAAGUACUCCUUUUCUUUUUUCAAAUUCCAGAAAUUGAUCUUUGCCUUCACUUAUAGGAAAUAUCCUUUACAAAUUUUUUGCAGUGAACCCUGAUAGAAGUUUUUUCUUGAUACUGCAUCAAGUAAACAGGUUGGCUAAGAUGUUAUUUUAACCAGCUCUCUAGAGAUGCUAGGCAGAGAGAGCUAAUUGUGAAACUAAGAUUGCUACUUGUAUUUACAGCCACUACCAACCAUUUCAGCAAUUAACUGAGAAACUGCAGCCACUGAACUAAAUCCCUACAACUUUCUAGCAAGAAUGAAAAGUGCCUAAAUCCAUUUCUCUUGAGAAGCACGGACAAUCCCAGCUCUCUGUGUAGACAGAAUCCCAAACAUACAAGCAGCAGUUGUCCCAACCGUCUUUUGGGAGUCAUCCCCCACACCACCCAUACACCCACCAAAUAUUUGAAUAUUUGAAUAGACAAUAUUUGAACACCGAGUGUUCAGUUACACUAGCACAUAUAAUUGUCAGAGGAAAGAGUGGGAGAGGGUGCCCUUAUUUGUUAAAUAUUUAACAAUGUUUAGCAAAUGGUAACAGAACAUACAUCUUUGAUGUUUAAAAGUGAUUAAAUGUUUGCAAAAUUGGUAGACUGUGUGCUGCAUCUGUGGCUGGAGAAGGUAGUUAAGGGUCCGCU